UGACCUCGCGCGUGCCUGCUGUGGCGUAGGCUUGGAGCCGCUCGCCUCCACCCUCACUCACGUUGUCCAGUAGAAGUGGAAACCUCUUCUGGCCUUAACACACUGAUUUCAUCAUGGGAAGCUCUACCCAUCUUCCUCUCUAGAGCACCAGGAAGAGAGCAAUCUGAGGUCCAUGCACACCAAGGUUUACACAAGCUCAGAUCGUAAGAGCUAAAUCCUGGAAGCAGCCUGGAUGUCCAUCAGCACAUGAACGGAUAAAGAAUAUGUGGCAACUAUACACAGUGGACUAGCACAUGGCUAUAAAGAAGGAUAAAUAUGAGGAAUUUGUAGAAAAUGUUGUGGGAAGUAAAACAGA